UACGAAGGGGGCUAGCGUUGCUCAGAAUUACUGGGCGUAAAGGGCGCGUAGGCGGCGACUCAAGUUAGAUGUGAAAGUCCUGGGCUUAACCUGGGGACUGCAUUUGAUACUGGGUUGCUUGAAUUCGGGAGAGGAUAGCGGAAUUCCCAGUGUAGAGGUGAAAUUCGUAGAUAUUGGGAAGAACACCGGUGGCGAAGGCGGCUAUCUGGACCGACAUUGACGCUGAGGCGCGAAAGCGUGGGGAGCAAACAGG
rnacentral:rRNA from 1 species